rnacentral:lncRNA from 1 species
AAUUUUUAAAUAUUUUAUUUUAAAUUAAUUUUUUACCAUAAUAUAAUGACAAACUUAAAUAUCUCGCACGAGUCUUUAAACUAGUAAAUAAUAAAAUAACAUACAUACUAUUUUCUCAAGAUCCAACAAAAUAAAUCAUGACCAAAUAUUUUAUUAAACCCGACUCUGAUGUUACAAUAUCAGAGAUUACAACCAAAUUUAAACAUAAAAAAUAAUUUAACAAAUAUUAAAGAACAACAUGUCUUAGAAGAGAGAAUAUAACUCUUCACUUUAUUCUUGUGGACAAAUGUCUUGAUACUACUUCUCAAUUGUAUGGUGGGCUGCAUAUAAACGGAGAAAAACAUUAUAGAGUGAAAUAACAAUUGCAAUAUAGUAAUGGAUAAAAACGAACACACAAAUACAUUUGAAACAUAAACAUGUGUACAUGUCUACAUACACUACGACUAAUAUAGAUUUUCUUUUUGCUGGAAUUAAUUUAGAAAUGUUACAAAAAUAGAUAAAUGAUUUUUAUACAGCUCAUGUUAAUUAGGGUCAAACCUCAAAUAUAUACGUGAUGAUCAAUUAAUAUACAAAAAAUAUCACAUUAAAGGGUAACAACAUUAUAUCACGAGCAAAGAAAAUGUACGGAUAUAAUAGAGAAAUAUUAAAUUUCUUACAAUAGAUUUUUACAGAUACCCUUGAAGCACACCUGUGCUCCACUAGGAUUAUCCGGAUAUAACGUAAGACAAUCGGAGUCACGAACACAUUCUUCUGUAAUGUAAAAUAAGAAUAAAUAAAUAUUAAUAAAAUGAGUGAAAUAUUAACAAAAAAAAAACUUGAGAAUGAACUUACUUUUACCAAAGGUUAGAACAAGAAAUAGGAAAACAAAAAGAAUCACAUUAUAAACAAACAUGAGAGUUUUAACCAUUUUUUCACCUUUACAUGUAAAAAAUAUAAAAUAGUUUGAUCAUUUUAUAGAGUAAAAGACCUCUUGCUUUAUGUCAAUUAAGUAGUUUUUAAUUAUUAUGUUGUUACAAGAAA